UCUUCCUUCAUCACUGCUCAGUUGCUUAUCUCCACUUGUUCCUCGUGCCAUGCCUUCACUAGUCUCAUGCCUCCUACCAACACCGAGCUAUGCCAUUUCCUGCGUUUUCACACCAAAGGAGUUCUAAUUAUAAGUAAUGCAAAAUAAAACAAAAUGAAACUAAAAACAUACUAAAAUGCACUUGAGAUGGGCAUAGUUUUCGUGAAUUGAUAUCCAAUAAGUAGGUAUAAAACCUACUUAUCAAAUACCCCCAAACUUGAACUAUUGCUUACCUUAAAGCAAUGCAUACGACAUAAAACACUAAAAAUGCAACUACAUGUUAUGCAACUAGAUUAUGAUGCAAAUGAGUCUCACAUUCUUCCAGCUGGAAUAAAAUUUCGGUCCAAAAAUGCCUCAGUGAAUUAUCCAGAUUAAAGAAUGAAACUUCAAACUAAACCAUAGACAUAAUAUUAUACACUUAAGUAAUCCAUACAUGCUAUAAAAAUGUUGUGUGUGUGUUGUGUUCACCAAAACUUGACUCAAGCACAGAAUACACAUGCUAAACUGCUCAAAACAGAAAAUUGCAGUCUAAAUCAAGAUUUAUGUAUACUAAUGCAACAAAAACUACUCUGACAUAUCAAAAUCAACUAAGGUUCAACAAUGGGUUUAAACAGCUUUAUUUUUACUCACGAGGGCGAUUUUCGCUCUUUACCGCAGUGUUUAUUGCUAUUUUUUUUAUACAGCGAGUGUGUUUUAUGCUCCAUCUCACCCCUUCCAAAGAGUCAAUAAUUCAGCUCAAGAAGGUUUCAAGAUAACUCUCUUUUUUUAUAUAGCAUACCCAUGUGUCCCCAAAGUUUGAUUAUCAAUGUUUUUCAUAGUCCAAAUCAAAUUUCCACAUAAUUCUCUUUUUAAAACCACAUUUCCUAUCAAGCAAUACAACAUAUAACUCUUAUGCCUACAAGCAUUAAUGAACACAUCAGUGCAAACCGAAAGCAUCUAAACAACAUCAUGGAUCACAUCAUGUAAAACGUUAUAUCUAAGCUUAAGAUAUCCAUUAAACUCAACAAUCCUUCAAGAUUCAAAUUCAUCAUUGGUUGGACAUAACUUCCACAAAGCUAGAAUUGCGAGACAUGCAACUAAACAUAUACUAACACAAAUAAUAAUGACUAAAAACAGAAAAAUUUUCUGCAAUUAUUAUCUAACACAUAAACAUGCAAAAUUUAAACUAACAUGCAAACACUACAUGCAACUACCCUACUACCCAAUACCCCAAACUUAAAAUAUUCAUUGUCUCAAUGAAAAAAGGCAUAGGGUUAGAGAAACUCCCCUAUUGAUCAGCUGUACCACCCUCUUCAGGUGGUGAAUCCGGUGGUGGAAAUGGCACGACUGUCCCAAACUGUGGCCACUCGAGCAUAGUCCCCUGCUGCGCAAACGCCUCUGCUAGUGACCUCGUCAAACCCGUAGCAAACGCUGCAAAGUUGUUGUACAUAGCAUCGACCUUUUGCUCCAACCUUCGGAGCUAUCGAUCCCCAGUAGCAGCAGUGGCUUGGGUUGACGUGCCUGCUUGAUCUAUCCUGGAGGGCUGCGAUGAGGGCGUAGACGAGGCUUGACGAAGAAUAAAACCCUUUCCUCUUGGAUGCGGAGUACCCCAUGCCAAUCUUCAAAUCGUGCUAUUGUAGCAUGCGUAAUGUCCUGGCUUGGGAAAUGCAACUGCUCAUCCGUCCACCUAAUUCCUACAUUGGCACACAAAUGAGUCACUAUUGAGGCAUGUGGAAUACUUCCCAUGGUACUUCUCCACAUGUAUCUCAGCAUGUUCUGAUUCAUCAGGUAACCUAUGUUAAUAUCCUUACCCACGAUAAUCCCCCAUAGUAUAAUCGCUCGCUCAACUGUAUUCUCAUGCUAAUGAGAAGAUGGCAUGAGUUUUGCACACACAAACAGAUUCCAUGCCUUUGCAUAAUGAUUGAGAGUGGACGCCGAAAAGGUCUUAGGGUGAUUAGUUCCCGGCGUGCAUGUCCACUGAGUUCCUGGAAUACACAAAUCACUGAUAACAACGUCCAAAUCUAUCUCCAAACGGUCAGCCUCCACCCAAUUUGUUCUUCUUCAAAUCGGAGGGUCGGGUAAAUUGAACACUUGACGAAUAGCCCUUGGUCUGUAGUCCAGUUGAAUUCCACGAAUGAAAGAGAACCCAUUCAUCGUUUCCCUCGCAUUUGCAUAGAACUCCCGCACAACAGCCAUAGGUGCAGCCAAUGGCGUAAAGCACACACCAUGCCAACACCUUUCUCUAAUCAUCUGCACUAACUUUCCAUCCUAUGCAUUUGACUAAAACCCUCGCUCACGAAAAAAUGAUUUCCCAACAAUUCGAUAGUAUUCUAUUUGAGCAUCCAGGUUGACAAAUUUAGAGAAAUAAACAUUGUCACCAUUUUGAAUUCUUAUAGAUGAUGAUUUAGGGGUGCGAGAUCGAGCACACUUAGGACCCAUUUGAAACUGAUAAAGAAGAAAAAAACUUACCUAAUAUAAUCGUGAGUGAUAGUUGAUGAAUUGAAUACCCCCAAACUUAUGUUGCACAAACCCACUGAAACCCUAGUUUUAUCAAUGUAGAUUUUGAUCGUGGGUAGGAGAUCUGAUGAAACAAUCACGUAGUGGAGAAGAGACGUUAUAAUUGCAAUUGGUAAUGGUUUGAAGAUGAGAAGUUGAAAUUCAGAUACGGCACACUUAGAAGGGGGGGUUGAAUAAGUAUGGAUACAAACUAUGAACAAUUUAAAAAUUAAAACCAAACUAUCGAAUAUAGCCUACUAUAUUAAUGAAUGCAACUUACUGAAAGAAUAUAGUCUACUGGAUUGAAUUUUUGUUUAAGAAAAUAUCUUGGUGAUUUUAUAAAUUUCUAUAACAAAAUUUCUCUUAAAGAAUCAAAUAACAAAGGUAAUUAUCUUGAGUAAAAAUAAAUUAAAGCAAGUAAAAAUAACACCAAGAUUUUUUACAUGGUUCAGCUAUUACCCUCUAUAAUAAUAGCCUACUCCACGUCCAAUACCAACUAGUAUUGGAUACUCACUUUUAUUUCUUUAAAAGACUUUUGUUACAAAUCAGAUUCUAUAAAACUGAAUUAUAAAAAUUCACUUGAGCACUCUUGCUCCUUGUGCACCAAUGCACUCCUUAAGCACCUAUGCUUCCUUGAACCUGUUUGUAAACAAACCUUAAUCCACCUGGAUUAAAUUCCCUUAGACAACACUUUGUCUAACAAUUAAGAUUACAAUAAUAGAGGUCUAAUGAUCAAAGAAAAUAAAUAAUUUAACAAUGCAAGGCUCAACUAAUGAAUGCAAUGAUCAAGUAGAAAGAGUAAAAGAUAUCACCAAUAUUAUGCCCACAAAAAUUGCUGAUUAUUAAUCUGAAUAUAAUAGCACAGCAACUGGAAAUAUUUCACCGAAUAAUAAAGUAGCUCUUCAAGUACGUGGUUGCAAAAUAUUAAUUGUAAGUGAUGUAAGUGUUGUAUUUUCUACUGAAAACAAUUCUCCUUUUUAUAACCCAGAAAAACAACUGUUGUGAAAUAAAAUAUUUCUAUUGCCAACAGAUUCAAAGAGAUAAAUAAUAUUCCAAUAUUAUUUCCGUUAAUUCCUCUGAAAUAUCAAAAACCAAUUGUAUUCGAUUGUAAAAAAAUUGUUGGACUCUUUCCAAAAAAAAAACUGUUUCAAGUAGGUAACGUCUCCUGUUGAGACUUUUAAAAUUCCUAUAGCAUUUAAAGUCUGCCGCCCAUAUAUAUAGCAUUAAUAUAGGAAAGAGUAUGAAACAACCUUUUUCAAGAUAAUGAUUACCUUAUAUUUUCAAGACACUUAUCCCACUUUUUUAAAAAGUACUCAUAUCUCAGCCAACCCACUUCAACAACUUUUUAAUUUCCAACAUAUAAAUUUUUCACACGCAUUACAUUAUAACAUCAGUACACAUGAAAAAUUAACAUAAUUCGGGCAAUUCUCUCUAUACAUGCAUAUAUAAAUACUUAGCCAUGCACAUGCAUAUAAAUACGUACUAACUUAGCAAUGUAACAUAAAUAGGUAUGCUAAACAUAUUUAAUUCAAUGCACAAAUAAUAUGUCCUAGAGCCUUGUAUUGAAAAAUUAAAUAUUUGCAAUGACCUUAUAUUUUUCUUAAGACUCAAAUCUUCAAAGUCUCUUGACAGCAAUUCUUUCAUUAACUUCCUAAAAUUUCACAAUAAACACAUUAGUCCAUAUAAUCAAGUCAUCAUCAAAACAAAAAGGUUAGAAUAUGAUCAAACCAACAUUAUCCCCCUUUUUGAUGAUGACAACACCAAAAAUUUAUAUCUCCCCUUGAAUUCAUGCAUAUUUAAAAUUUUAGAAGAUUUAAACAUAAUCAAACUGAUCUUCACCAUAACUUAUCCUGCAAAACGUGUUAGCUGGAAUCAAAUAUAGUAGAGCAGUCAUAAUCAAUUAUAAUAUCUAGUACCGGCUCCAACCAUAUUGUUUUGAAACAUACCAUCCAAACAAAAACUUAAACACUUGAUACCAACCAAAUCGUUUUUAAAACAGUAAAACAUAAAAAAAUCAAAUGUCUUCACAGCAACCCUUCAUCCAACCUCGACAACCCUUCAACUUGUAGCUUGUCUCCCCAUUUGUCAUCACCAAAAAGAUCAUCAAAUAUCAAUAUCAUCAAUAUGAAUCACAGGUAGAGGACGAUUAGUGAAAUAAGGACGAUGGAGAACACGAUGGAUCCUUUCUUCCAUAGAGAAUUCAUGAGCAAACCUAGGAGGACGAGGAAUGAAAGUCUCAUUUGGUAGAGGCAAAUCAAGAAAAUCUCCAAUAUAUUCAGCCAUCCAAUUACACCGAGGCCAUUCCGGAACAGGAGAGUGCAUAGUGUUAAAAUGUAACCUUCUACUUACGUCAUUCAGACGAUGAGCCAUGAAAUCAGCAAAUUCUCCAACUUGAUAACUUACAAAUUUUAGUUCUUGGCUAAGUUGACACGAAUUUCUAUUGAUCUUUCGAUGUAAAGAUUCAACCAUAGCCAUGGUAUGUAACUCGAAAUCAGCUUGUAAAUCAAUGAAUUCAUCCUCAAUUUGUGAAAAACAUUUAGUCAAAUCAUUUGCCCAUAUAGGCAAAUUCCCUUUUUCCAAAAUUGAAAUCCUUUACUUAAUAUCAACAAUGUCAGAUGAAUUCCCGAUUCUUGAGAAUUUGAGACAACAUAUCAACCACUACGGAAGAUGAGACCAAGGAAGGAGGAUGUGAAGAGGAUGCAGAAUUAUAAGUUGGUAAAGCAGAUGAAACAACACUUGGUGGAGUAGGAUCAGUAGUGAGACAUACGAAUGAACCAUCAACAAAAGAAAUAUGAGACUGUUUGAGAUUAGCAGAAUCAAUAAAUUCAUUGUGGGAAACCACAAUUUCAUCAUCAAGACAAAUUUUAAAAUGUUGAAACAACUUUGUCAAAAACAAACUAUAGGGCAGACACGUUUUAGUUUGACAAAUACAACUCAUCAUGUGGGACAACAUCAUAAGAGAAAAAUUAAAACUGACUCCUUUUAAAAUUAUAGCAAUAACAGCCAAAUCUUGAUAAGUGAAGUCUGCUCCAUCACCUAGUCGUGGAAACAGAUUAUACCGAAGGAUUUUGUGCAAAACACAUGCAAGUGGACAGACAUCGACAAUUUUAGGAGUAAACAAAGUUGUCAAAGAUGAAUCAUACAUUACCGUAUAAAGUUGUUCAAGAGGAGGAAAGGGUUUAUUUGUAGCACCCUUAAGAGUAAAUGGACAAGGUCCGGAUGAAGGAAUAUUAAAAAUACUCCAAAGUCUAUUACUGUGAAAAACAUAGAUUUUCCCUUCACAAAGGACGUGUAGCAAUCCCCAUUACACUCUAAGUUAGUAUAAAAUUGCUGUAUCAAAUGAGGAUAUGCCCUAGUUGGGGGAAAAAGCAUAGCAGAAAUACCACAAGACAUGAAAACUUUUUCCAAAGAUGAAUUUUUGAAAUAAAACAAGUCUAAAAUCUUUUCGUAAACAAAUUGUUUAGUAGCGAUGGAAGUUUUAAAACGUGCUUCAAAACUAUGACCCUGAAAGAAAUUAUCUAGUAACUCAGAAGGAGUAGAGAAAGGGUUUACCAGAUUUGUCGGUGAAUCUGGUUGAGAAGGAGGAGGCUCUAAACCAGGAGAGUGAGGAGCUUUUGGUAAGAAAGAGAAGCUUGAAUCAGACCCAUCAGAGCCAUCAGAUGAAACAUGAACUGAUGUCUAGCUUUUGGACUUCUUCGGUGAUCGUAUAUUAUAAGGAGAUCGAGAAUGAGUUCUGUCUUUGAUUGUUACUCCGGAUGGACGCUUGUUUGAUCGAGUCUUCAUGCUCGUUGUUGAAAGUUGAACCAGCCGAGAAAUAGAGAAAUAUCAGAGAAUUAGAGUGAGAGAAAAAAAAUGAACGCUCUUCCUUUAAUAAUAAAGUGUUAGACUCCGAAAAGACUCCUUGAAAUAAUAAAUCUCUACCUUUAGUCUUUUCAAAUUUCUAAUCUCAUUAUGAUAGAUACCGUGAAUCGUGCUAGUGCAGAUACGCCUUCUUUGCCAGUUACAUACAGAUAAUGUCUAUCAACAAAACAUAGUUAAAAUAAUAACAUGCAGUUAUGAAAUAUUUUAUGCAUGACUUAUUUUAGUACGUGACCAUAUUAUACCAAGCACAGUCCAAGUUCUCUUCUCAACAUGCAAAACCUUUCUUCACUUAAUGGUUUAGUAAAAAUGUCAGCCAAUUAUUUCUCUGUAGGAAUAAAAAUUAAUUUUAUUAAUCCUUUUGAAACAUUAUCCCUUAAGAAAUGAUGCCUAACCUCUAUAUGUUUUGUACGUGAAUGCAAAAUAGGAUUUUUUUUAUAUGUCAAUAGCACUAGAAUUAUCGCAAUAUAUAGACACAUUAUUGCAUAUUAUAUCAAAAUCACAUAAAGUUUGUUUCAUCCAUAAUAUUUGAGAGCAACAACUCCCUGAAGCUAAAUAUUCACCCUUAGUGGUUGAUAAAGCAACUGAGGUUUGUUUUUUACUAUGCCAUGAAACAAGACUGUGUCCCAAAAAUGUACAAGCACCACUUGUACUUUUUCUAUCAAUUUGAAAUCAUGCAUAGUCAGCAUCUGAAUAACCCAUUAGUUCAAAAUGAUUACUUAUUGAAUAAAAUAACCCUAAAUUUAUAGUACCACUUAAAUAUUUAAAAAUUCUUUUAACCGCUUGUAAGUGGGAUUCUUUGGGUUUUGCUUGAAACCGAGCACAAAGACAUACACUGAACAUUAUAUCAGGCCUAGAUGCAAUUAAAUAUAACAAAGAGCCAAUCAUACCUCGAUAUUUGGUUAACUCUACAUCUAUACCUUUCUCAUCUGAUGUGAGCUUUAUUGAUGUACUCAUUGGUGUAGUCUUAGGAUUGGACCCUUCAAAACCAAAUCUUUUGGGUAGCUCUUUUGUGUACUUGGUUUGAUGAAUAUAGAUCCCUUCCUUUGUUUGCUUGAUUUGAAGUCCCAAAAAGUAAUUUAGCUCACCCAUUAAGCUCAUAUCAAAUUCAUUAUGCAUACACUUUGAAAACCACUCACAAAGAAAAUCAUUAGUAGCAUCAAAUAUUAUAUCAUCUACGUAUAUUUGAACAAUGAUUAUUUCUUGUUUUUCAUGUUUAAUAAAUAAUGUAGAAUCUAUUUUACCUCUAGUAAAACCACUUGAAAUAAGAUACUUACUCAACCUCUCGUACCAAGCCCUUGGAGCUUGUUUGAGACCAUAGAGAGCUUUCUUUAGCUUAAAAACAUGAUUUGGAUAUUUUUCAUGUUCGAAUCCAGGAGGUUGUUUGACAUAGACUUCUUCAUUAAUGUAUCUAUUAAGAAACGCACUCUUUAUAUCCAUUUGAUAAAGCUUGAAUUUCUUGUAACAAGCAAAUGCUAACAAGAUCCGAAUAGAUUCUAGUCUUGCAACUGGAGCAUAAGUUUCUUCGUAGUCGAUUCCUUCUUGUUGAUUGUAACCUUGAGCCACUAGCCUUGCUUUGUUGCGAGUGAUUGUCCCAUGCUCAUCGAGCUUGUUUUUAAACACCCAUUUUGUUCCAAUAACAGAAACAUCUUUAGGAGGGGGCGUUAAUUCCAAAACUUGACAUCGUUCAAAUUGUUGAAGUUCCUCUUGCAUUGCCAUUAGCCAAUUUUCAUCAAGUAUAGCUUCCUUAGCAUUCUUUGGCUCAACUUGUGAUAAGAAUGCAGAAAANNNNNNNNNNNNNNNNNNNNNNNNNNNNNNNNNNNNNNNNNNNNNNNNNNNNNNNNNNNNNNNNNNNNNNNNNNNNNNNNNNNNNNNNNNNNNNNNNNNNNUUAGCAUCAAAUUUUCCCAAAUUAUCACUAGUAUUGAGAAUAAAGCAUUUAGAUCCAAAAACUUUGAAAUAACUUAUAUUCAGAAUUUUAUUAUUUAACAAUUCAUAAGGUGUUUUCAAAAUAAUUGGACGAAUGAGUACUCUAUUUAAAACAUAACAUGAUGUGCUUACCGCCUCGGCCCAAAAAAUUUUUGGAAGCUUAAUCUCUUGUAGCAAUGUUCUAGCAGUUUCUUGUAAUGUUCUAUUCUUCCUUUCCACUACUCCAUUCUGCUGAGGAGUUCUUGGAGCUGAAAACUCAUGGCUUAUUCCUUUUUGAUCACAAAAUAUAAUAAAAUCCUUUUGAAAUUAGGUACCAUGAUCACUCCGAAUUUUUAUAAGCUUGAGACUAUACUUAGUCUCUAAAUUUCUUAUCAAUUUCUCAAAUUCUUUAAAUGCUUCAUCUUUGGUUCUCAAAAAUAAUACCCAUGUAUAUCUAGAAAAAUCAUCAACUAUGACAAAUGCAUAAAAUUUACCAUUAAUACUAGCAUGCCUUUCUGGGCCAAAUAAAUCAAGAUGAAGUAAUUGUAAAGGAGUAGAGGUUGAUACCAUCUUCUUUGCACUGAAUGAUGUUCUUACUUAUUUUCCAAGUUGGCAAGGAACACAUAUUCCCUUCUUUUCAUACUUUAUCUUUGGCAAACCUUUGACAAGAUUCUUUGAGGACAAUUUCUUGAUUAAAUCCAUGUGAACAUGUCCCAUCCUCUUGUGCCACAGAUUAGCCUCAUCUUGCACAGAUGAAAGAUAUAAUUCUUCAUCUUGUUUCUCAAAGUCAAUAGUAUAUAUAUUUCCUUCUCUUUGUUCAACUAAAGUAACAUUGUCAGUACCAUGAGAAAUAAUGCAUUUUUCUUUAUCAAAACUGACUUGGUGACCAUUGUCCAUUAAUUGACUGAUACUAAUAAGAUUAAAUUCAAGUCCGUUAACAAGGUGUACAUUAUCAAUAUUUACCUUACCAUUUCCUAUUUUACCUUUUCCGAUUAUCUCGCAUGUUCGAUUAUCUCCAAAUGUAACUUUACCAUUUUUCUUCUUGAUUUUUAGCUCCACGAACUUUGUUUUGUCACCAGUCAUGUGACGCGAGCAUCCACUAUCAAGAAUCCACUUUUGAGAUUGAACCCUUGCCUUGAGACAUACCUGUCAAGAAAAAAUAAUUCAUCCUUUUGGUACCCACAUCUUUUUGGGUCCUUUAGUGUUAGUUGCAAGUAAAUCAACCUUUUUAACCCAUACCUUUUUAAUCUUAUUUUUCUUAAAGCAAUAUAUGUCCAAGUGACCUUUAAUACCACAGUUUUUGCAUGUUGUGAAAGGAGAACAGUAAUUCAAUUUGAAAUAAGAGUGGGAUUAUAACCUAUUCCUUGUCUAUCAAAACUAGGCCUUUGCUUUCCUAACAUGACAGUUAGAUUUUCUUCUCCUUGAACAAAUCUAGCAAGAGAUAUUUUUAAUGAAUCUACUUCCUUUUGAAGUUCAUUAGUAUGAAUGGGUUUAAACUGGGAUUCAUUACUAAAAGCAUCAAUACAUACAUCUCGCAUUUUCAGUUUAUUAGUCAAUUUUCCAACCUCAUUGUUCAAGUAAGUCACCUUGUUAAAAAGGAUUUUGUUAUAAUUCUCAAGAUAAUCAUUUUUAGCAAUCAAAACCUUUUCUUCUUUACAAAAUGACUCCUUUUCAAUUUCCUUCUUUUCAUCUAUCAAAGAAUCAACUUCACACAUUAAUGUAUUUACUAAGUCUUUCAAAUAUGCAUUCUUUUCUUUUAAUCUAGCAUUUUCUUGUUUCAAAGAAUUAAAAUCAAAAUCAGAUACCUCGUUUGAUUCACCUUUUAUUCCCAUGAAACAUACUUGAGCUAUCUCAUCCUUGGCGUCGACCUCAACCUCAUAUUCUUAUUCAUCACUCCAAGUGAUUAAUGCCUUGUUUCUUUUAUUAUCCUUGAAGCCUGUUUUUCCUUUAUUCUUUAGUUGAAAACAGUCCUUCUUGAAGUGCCCUGGACGUCCACAUUCAAAACACGUCUCUUUAGUUUGCUUUCCUUUACCUUUAUUUGAGUUGAAGAUAUUCUUUCGUUUAUUCUUCCUUUGUAGAAGUCAUUGAGUCUCCUUGACAUCAUGGCUAUCUCUUCGUCAGAAUCAUCAUCAAGCUCUUCUUCAUUUCCUGUAUUAAGAGCUAGAACCUUUCUACGAGGAGUUUCAUCCUCAUCAUCAUACCUCUUUAACUGAUGUUCAUAUUCCUCAAGUUCACCAAAAAAGGUCAGUGUAUCCAUAGUAGAUAUAGUAGAGGAAUCUUGAAGAGUAGUAAUUUUAGAUGUAAACCUCUUGGGCAUAGCCCGAAGUAACUUACGAUUAAUCUCACUUUGUGGAAUAGAUUUGUCAAGUAGCUUUAAGGAGUUCAGAAGAACAAGAAACCUUGUUUGAGCCAUCUUUAUAGUUUUAUCUUUCUCGAGUUUGAACAUUUCAUAAUCAUGCAUGAGCAUGCUUAGUUUAACUUCUCGAACUUUUGAUGUUCCUUCAUGACUUACCACUAGAGUGUCCCAAAUUUCCUUAGUUGUGUUGCAUGAGGAUACUUUGUCAAUCUCGGACUGCACCAUGCCGCUUAGUAGAGUAUUCAUAGCCCUUGAGUCAUAGGAGACCAUGAAGGUUUCAGUUGAAUCCAUCUCUAGCAAAGUCUUUGGAGUACCGUCAUCUUUCCUUGGAAUAACUGGUCCAUUCUCCACAACCCACCAUUCCCAAGUAUCUCUUUUAAGGUAGAUCCUCAUUCGGAAUUUCCAGAAGUUGUAGUUUUCUGUUCCAUGCAGCAGUGGAGGUCUAUUGGUUGAUUGACCUUCUUGAUUGUUGUUUCUGAACUAUGCCAUGUCAGAAUCUUUCCCUACAAGUAACCUUUAAGACCAAGUAAGUAGAGCCAAGCUUUGAUACGAAAUGAAAUUCAGAUACGGCACACUUAGAAGGGGGGUUGAAUAAGUGUGGAUACAAACUAUGAACAAAUUAAAAUUUUAAACCAAACUAUCGAAUAUAGCCUACUUUAUUAAUGAAUGUAGCUUACUAAAAGAAUAUAGUCUACUGGAUUGAUUUUUGUUUAAGAAAAUAUCUUGGUGAUUUUAUAAAUUUCUAUAACAAAAUUUCUCUCAAAGAAUCAAAUAACAAAGUUAAUUAUCUUGAGUAAAAAUAAAUUAAAGCAAGUAAAAAUAACACCAAGAUUUUUUACGUGGUUCAGCUAUUACCCUCUAUAAUAAUAGCCUACUCCACGUCCAAUACCAACUAGUAUUGGAGACUCACUUUUAUUUCUUUAAAAGACUUUUGUUACAAAUCAGAUUCUAUAAAACUGAAUUACAAAAAUUCACUUGAGCACUCUUGCUCCUUGUGCACCAAUGCACUCCUUAAGCACCUAUGCUUCCUUGAACCUAUUUAUAAACAAACCUUAAUCCACCUGGAUUAAAUUUCCUUAGACAACACUUAGUCUAAAAAUUAAGAUUACAAUAAUAGAGGUCUAAUGAUCAAAGCAAAUAAAUAAUUUAACAAUGUAAGGCUCAACUAAUGAAUGCAAUGAUCAAGUAGAAAGAGUAAAAGAUAUCACAAUAUUAUGCCCACGAAAAUUGCUGAUUAUUAAUCUGAAUAUAAUAGCACAGCAGCUGGAAAUAUUUCACCGAAUAAUAAAGUAGCUCUUCAAGUAAGUGGUUGCAAAAUAUUAAUUGUAAGUGAUGUAAGUGUUGUAUUUUCUACUGAAAACAAUUCUCCUUUUUUAUAACCCAGAAAAACAACCAUUGUGAAAUAAAAUAUUUCUGUUGCCAACAGAUUCAAAGAGAUAAAUAACAUUCCGAUAUUAUUCCCAUUAAUUCCUAAGAAAUAUCAAAAACUAAUUAUCUUCGGUUGUUAAAAAAUUGUUGGACUCUUUCCAAAAAAAAAAACUGUUUCAAGUAGGUAACGUCUCCUGUUGAGACUUUUCAAAUUCUUAUAACAUUUAAAGUCUGCCGCCCAUAUAUAUAGCAUUAAUAUAGGAAAGAGUAUGAAACAACCUUUUUCAAGAUAAUGAUUACCUUAUAUUUCCAAGACACUUAUCCCACUUUUUUAGAAAGUACUCAUAUCUCUGCCAACCCACUUCAACAACUUUUUAAUUUCCAACAUAUAAAUUUUUCACACGCAUUAUAUGAUAACAUCAGUACACAUGAAAAAUUAACAUAAUUCAGGCAAUUCUCUCUAUACAUGCAUAUACUUAGCCAUGCACAUGAAUAUAAAUACGUACUAACUUAGCAAUGUAACAUAAUUAGGUAUGCUAAACAUAUUUAAUUCAAUGCACAAAUAAUAUGUCCUAGAGCCUUGUAUUGAAAAAUUAAAUAUUUGCAAUGACCUUACAUAUUUUUCUUAAGACUCAAAUCUUCAGAGUCUCUUGACAGCAAUUCUUUCAUUAACUUCCUGAAAUUUCACAAUAAACACAUUAGUCCAUAUAAUCAAGUCAUCAUCAAAACAAAAAGGUUAGAAUAUGAUCAAACCAACAUAAGUCGUGCGUGUUGUGGAGAACAAGGGAAGACGUCUCUCUGUGUAUUUCAAAUGAUGGAAUAUAUGUAUUAAUACACGUCUUUAAAACCCAAUUUUUUUUUCAAAAUCCGGUGACGGGCGCGGCCGCGCGGCUUCUUAAUGGGAAAUUGGCGCGGGCGCGCGAGUACAUUUUUUUUGUUAUACAGACAUGUAGCGUGGGCGCGCGGUUUUGUACUGCUAUCAUAGCGCGGGCGCGCUGGGUUGCAUUCUGUAAUCUCAUUCUGCAUCUCCAAAUUAUUAAAAUAGUGAUUACUCCACUCCAAUACACCUGUGCAAUCAACAAUUAUCAAUAUAAGAUAACAAUCCUUCAAAAUCACACACGAACUGAUGAUUACACACUAACUAAUUUCACCUGAUAAAAAUUUCACACUAACUAAACUAUAACAUCUAAUCAUGCAAAUGAUACAUCAAAUAGAAUGUAAAAUAGAAUUAAACAAGAGGUACAGAUAGAAGUAAUGGGUUGCCUCCCAUCCAGCGCUAAGUUAUAGUCAAUUAGCUUGACUAUCUCUGAUUCAAUCACGUCGAAGAAAGAAUUGAGGUGACUUUUUGUCUGUCAACCUCGCCACCAAAGUAAUUCUUCAGCCGCUGUCCAUUCACUUUAAACGGCUUGUCUGGGAACUUAUUGAACACUUCUACUGCACCAUGUGGGAAAACUGUCUUCACUGUGAAUGGCUCUGACCACCUUGAUUUGAGCUUCCCAGGAAAAAAGUUUAAGUCUGGAGUUGAAAAGCAAAACUCUUUGUCCCGACUCAAAUGUUCUCUCUAUUAUCUUGUGAUCAUGCCAUUUCUUCACCUUUUCCUUGUACAUCUUGGAGUUUUCAUAUGCCUGUAAUCGGAAUUCAUCCAACUCAUUGAGUUGGAAUAGGCGUUUCUCUCCUGCAGCUUUCAAAUCAAAAUUGAGCUUCCGAAUCGCCCAAUAUGCCUUAUGCUCUAGCUCCAUAGGAAGGUGACAAGCUUUGCCAUAAACUAGCUGAAAAGGUGACAUGCCCAAUGGAGUCUUGUACGCAGUCCUAUACGCCCAAACAACAUCAUCAAGCUUUAAGGACCAAUCCUUUCUAGUGGAAUUCACAACUUUUUCUAGAAUUCUUUUAGCUUCCCGAUUUGAAACUUUUGCUUGGCCAUUCAUUUGUGGAUGAUAAGCUGUAGCAAUGCGAUGAUUCACCCCAUACUUAGCCAACAGAGCUAUGAACUGCCUAUUACAAAAAUGACUGCCUUCAUCACUAAUGAUAGCCCUUGGAGUCCCAAACCUCAUGAAGAUACUUCUCUGUAAAAACUUUAGGACCACCUUGGCUUCAUUUGUUGGAAGAGUUCCCAUUUCCACCCACUUUGACACAUAAUCCACUGCUAGCAAGAUGUAUAGAUUUCCAAAUGAAGAAAUGAAAGGACCCAUGAAAUCUAUCCCCCACACAUCAAAAAUUUCCACUUCGAGGAUUGUGUUCAAGGGCAUUUCAUUUAUUUUUGAAAUGUUCCUGACUCUUUGACAUUUGUCACAUCUCUGGACGAAACUGUAUGCAUCCUUGAAAGUUGUUGGCCAGUAGAAUCCUGCUUAUAGCACUCUAGCCGCUGUUCGCUCUCCAUCGUAGUGACCCCUAUACAAAGAAGCAUGACAAUCCUGCAAAAUCCCCUCUAUCUCACUAUAUGGGAUACACCUUCUUAUCAUCUGAUAAGCACAUUGUUUGAACAAAUAUGGUUCAUCCCAUAUAAACCAUUUAACAUCAUGUAGGAAUUUCUUCUUUUGAUGACCCACCAAGUCAGAAGGUAUCAUCUUACUCACCAAGUAGUUCGCGUAGUCUGCAAACCAUGGCACUUCCCCUUUCACCACAAAUAACUGUUCAUCUGGAAAGGAUUCAUUAAUUACAACUUUGUUGUAUGCCUCCCUUUUCGGAUUCUCUAGUCGAGAUAAGUGGUCCGCCACUUGGUUCUCAGUUCCCUUUCUGUCCUUGAUCUCUAAAUCGAAUUCCUGCAACAAUAAUAUCCAUCUGAUCAAACGGGGCUUUGCAUCCUUCUUUACCACUAAGUCAAAUUAUCGCGUGAUCCGUGUACACUAUCACCUUUGUACCAAUCAGAUACGCUUGGAAUUUAUCAAAGGCAUACACAACUGCCAGUAAUUCUUUCUCUGUGGUGGUGUAGUUCAACUGUGCAUCUGUAAGGGUCUUGCUGGUAUAGUAGAUAACAUGAAAAAUCUUUUCCUUUCUCUGACCCAAAAUAGCCCCCACAACAUAAUCACUAGCAUCACACAUUAAUUCGAAUGACAAAUCCCAAUCUGGUGCAGUAAUGAUUGGUGCUGAAGUUAAUUUCCCCUUCAAGUGCUCAAAUGCUGACACACAAGCCUCAUCAAAUUUGAAUUGUGCAUCUAUCUCCAAUAAACUACAUAGUGGUUUAGUUAUCUUGGAGAAGUCUUUUAUGAAUUUGUGGUGAAAGCCUGCAUGUCCAAGAAAACUUUGAACACCUUUUACUGAAGUAGGUGGUGGCAAAUUCUCAAUAGUUUCUAGUUUAGCCCUGUCCACCUCAAGUCCCUUCUUCGAAACCUUGUGUCCCAGAAUUAUUCCUUCUUGUACCAUAAAAUGGCACUUUUCCCAAUUCAGUACUAAAUUUGUUUCAACACACCUUCUCAAGACCAUCACCAAAUUAUUAAGGCAUAAAUCAAAAGAAUCCCCAAAUACCGAGAAAUCUUCCAUGAAUAUGUACCUCCACACUCUGUUCCACCAUAUCCGAAAAAAUAGCCAUCAUGCAUCUCUGAAAGGUGGCUGGAGCAUUGCACAACCCGAAAGACAUCCUUCUGAAAGCAAAAGUACUGUAUGGACAUGUAAAGGUUGUCUUUUCUUGGUCCUCUGGAGCUAUAACAAUUUGGUUGUAGCCUGAAUAUCCGUCCAGAAGAUAAUAAUACUCAUGACCCGCUAGUCUAUCCAACAUCUGAUCGAUAAAUGGCAGUGGGAAGUGAUCUUUCCUUGUAGCUUUAUUAAGCCUUCGAUAGUCCAUGCAGACUCUCCACCCCGUCACUGUUCGUGUUGGAAUCAACUCAUUAUUCUCAUUAAAAACCACGGUCAUACCACCCUUCUUUGGUACACAUUGCACUGGGCUCACCCAUGAACUAUCUGAAAUUGGAUAAAUUAUGCCUGCAUCCAGCCAUUUCAGUACUUCUUUCUUGACCACUUCCUUUAUGAUCGGAUUAAGUCUCCUUUGUUGUUCCACUGACGACUUACUAUCAUCUUCUAACAGGAUCUUAUGCAUACAAAAAGAAGGGUUGAUCCCUUUUAUAUCUGCUAUAGUCCAUCCAAUAGCUGACUUGAACUCUCUAAGAACUCGUAGCAGUUUUAAUUCCUUAAGAGAUGUUAGCGCAGAAGAAAUAAUAACAGGUAACUUUGAAUUUUUAUUUAAAAAUGCAUACCUCAAAUGGUCUGGAAGUGGUUUCAAUUCAAGUUCUGGAUGUGUCUCAAGAGAUGGCUUCAAUUUCACUAACGUCUCUCCAUCUUUCUUCAAUGGCUCAACAGGAGUUUUGAACUUUCUGAAUUGUGGAGUAGUAUCAAGAAAGUGCACAAGUUCUUCAAAUUCCUCAUCCUCUAAUUCUGAAUUUCCAGCAAUAACACUUCUCAAUGGUUCAUGAUCCACCAGACUCUCUACUUCAUCAUUUAGGACCUGGUCCACCAAAUCAACCCUGAAGUAUUCCUCUUUAUCUGUCGGAAACUUCGUUGCCUUGAAUACGUUAAAGGUAACCUCCUGAUAAUGAACACGCAUAGUGAGUUCCCCUUUCUGAACGUCUAUCAAGGUCCUUCUUGUGGCUAGGAAUGGUCUUCCCAGUAUGAUUGGUAUACUCUUAUCGUCUUCAUAAUCUAAAAUGAUGAAAUCAGCUGGAAAGAUGAAUUUAUCCACUUUUACCAAUACAUCUUCAACAAUUCCCCAUGGAUAAGUGAUGGAUCUAUCAGCUAACUAUAGAGAAAUAUUUGUCAGCCUUGUAGCCGGCAAUCCCAACUGAUUGAAUACUGACAAGGACAUCAAAUUGAUACUUGCCCCCAAGAUCACACAAACAUUUUCUGAAGCUCAUCUUUUUGAUUGUGCAUGGAAUUGUGAAACUUCCCAGAUCCUUCAGCUUUGGAGAUAAUUUGCGCUGAAGCACUGCACUGCAUUCCUCUGUCAAGGCCACUAUCUCAAAAUCUUCUAAUCUCUUCUUCCUUGACAAUAUACCCUUCAUGAACUUUGCAUAACUUGGCAUCUGUUCCAAUGCCUCAACGAAGGGUAUGUUAAUCUACAGCUUUUUAAAGACCUCAAAAAACUUGCUAAACUGCCUAUCUUCCCUCUGCUUUAUUCAAUCUAUGUGGAUAAGGUACUGGAGGGUGAACUAGUGGUAUUUUAUUGUCGGGCUUCUCAACUGAACCUACUUUAUUAUCCUCUUCUUGCUGUUGUCCAGAACCUUCAUUAUUUUCUUUCUUCUCAGACAACUUUUCUAUCUCGCGCGGCCGCGCGUCCUCCCCUUGUAAACAUGGCGCGGGUGCGCCUGACUGAUUUUCUGCAACCUAUUUCCCAGACCUGAGUGUGAUCACCUGACAUUGUUCCUCCCCUUCUCUUCUUGGAUUUGCCUCCGUAGUACUUUGAAAUGAACCCUGGGGCCUAUUGUUAAGCAUGCUCGCCAUCUAACCCAUUUGAGUUUCCAGAUUUUUAAUAGCCACUGCUUGGCUUUUAAUCAUCACCUCUAUGUUUUCCAUAUACUUCAACAUCAUCUCCUCAAUUUCUGAUUUCUUUUCUUGCUGAGGUGCAGAUGGAGUAUGAUGUUGUUGUUGAUAAAAUCUAGGUGGAUAAGGUGGUCUUGGUGUAAACUACUGCUGAGCUAGCUGUGACUGAAAUUGGUUAUUCGGUUGAAACUGACUCUGUUGAUUUCCUUGAUUAUUUGACCAAUUGAAGUUUGGAUGGUUGCGGUUGUUGGAGUUAUGUGUGUUCUAAAAUUGUCCUUGAUCCUUCCUAUAGUUUCUCACAUACGUUACAGACUCCGAGCUGAUAGCACAUUGAUCCAUUUAGUGUGACCCUGCACAAAUUUCACACACCAAGGCAACUGUCUUCACCUUGGUCUCUGUCAAUGAAUAAAUUUUCUUCGCCAUGGAUGCCAUCUGUGCUGACAAUUGAGUGAUUGCAUCCACUUCCAACAAACCUACAACUUUGGGUUCUGGCAUCUUGGUUGUAGGGUUUUGAAAAUCAUUUGUUGUCAUUGUCUCAAUAAGGUUAUAGGCCUCUUCAUAAUUUUUUCCCCAUAAAGCUCCUCCUGCAGCUGCAUCUACAAUCGGCCUUGACUGCCAUCCCAAUCCAUUAUAGAAUGUGUUGAUAACCAUCCAAUCUGGCAUGUCAUGGUGUGGACACUUCCUUAGCAUCUCUUUGUAUCUCUCCCAAGUUUCAUAUAAAGAUUCACCAUGUUGUUGCUCGAACUGGGAAAUUGAUGUCCUCAUCUUUGCAAUCUUAGCCAUUGAGAAAAACUUGGCUAAGAAUUUUUGUGCUAGGUCCUACCAUGUAGUUAUAGAUCCCGAAGGUAAAUAGUGAAGCCAACUUCUCGCUUUAUCUCUCAAUGAAAACGAAAAUAAUCUGAGUCUGAUAGCAUCCUCCGUCACCCCGUUAUAUCUGAACGUGUCAUAUAUCUCAAUAAAACUCAACAGGUGCUCAUUAGGAUCAUCUAUAGCAGCACCCCCAAAUUGUACUAAAUUUUGCACCAUUUGAAUAGUGCCCAAUUUUAUCUCAAAGGUGUUGGCUGCUAUAGCUGGCCUGACUAUACUUGACUGAAGUCCAUUAAUAUUAGGCAUUGAAUAAUCUCUCAAAGCCUUGUGCUCCUCUUUGUGCUCUUCUUCCGCCAUAUUAGAUGUCGUGGUCUCUAAGGCUGCUUGUAAAUUUCUACGCACUUUUGUUUUCCAACCUCUUCCGUUAAUAUUAUCCUGAGCAGAUGUUAACUCGGGAUUGGAUGACCGUGUGCGCAUAAAAAUAUAUACAAGUACCUGAAAUAGAAAAAAAUCAAAAAUAUAAAUGAGAUAAGAUUAGAUUUGUCUAAGUCAUACAAUAUAGUUUAAAACUGAUGAUAAUAAUAAUAAUAAAUUUAAACGCCUUUCCCCGGCAACGGUGCCAAAAACUUGUCGCCUCCUUUUUAGUUCUAAUAAAAGGACUCUAACUCAUGCAAGCAUACAUGAGUCAACAAGUAGUAUAGAGUAAGAAAAGUAUCGAUCCACGGAGAAAGAUUUCAAAAUUAAAUUAUUAGGCAUCAACUAUAUCACUAUGUUUAUAUGCUUAAAUGAAUGCUAUAAUUUUGAAUGAAUCUAAACUCAAGUAAUAAAUAAAAGAAGAAUGAUAGAAUAAUAAAUUAAAUUUGGAAAUAAUGGAAUUCUAACUUCAUUUAAUAUUUCAUCUAAAUACUACCAUCAUGCAAGAUUAUUCAUGUAUCACGGAAAAUUAGCCAAGAGCACAAAAACUAGACAUAACCAUUUUUCAAUGUAUUAUGACCUACUUACAUAACCUCCACAUGCAAUAGAAAUCAUGUAAUCAUCAAUAAAACCAAAAUCACUAUAUUUCUAUGUGAAAUUGUAGCAAUAUUGAAUUGAAGCACAAGCUCUUAUGUUACCACACAUGGUGAAACAGUAUAUUUCUAUCUGAUUCACGAAAUAUAAAGCUAGACAUUUCAGCCUCAUACACGCAUGCUAUCAUGAUUACAACCAUACUCGCAUGUCAUUUUUCAAUUCCAUACAAGUACAUAAAAUGAAUGGUGAUCAAACAUUCAUGCAAUCCAAUCAAUUAUAAUAGAAAUUCUGAUGAUACACAAACAAUCAAGCAAUCAAUUUUAGACUACAUAUCAAAGUCCGUUAGAAUCCCAUAAUGGAAUUUAGUUCAUUUCUGAACCGAAAGCCAUUAUGGGAUUAUAGCAAAACAUGGAAAAUAAUUAAGGCAAUUGAAAGAGAAGAUAGAAUUGAUCAAACCCAAUUACAGUUUAUGUUCCAAAACGUUGUUCUAAUCUCCAAUGAUUUCCAGCAUAAAAGUAGUUCUUAUUCAAUGAUCGAAUUCUAAAGAAGAGGUAGAAAAUCUUAAGUCUAUGCUUAAAUCCUCUUUGGAAAUUCGUUCAACGCGUAGAACCCUAGUUCUCUAGUCUAAAAACUAAUAAAAAUAAUAAUAAUUCACGUCUGGUACCAACCAGAGUAGUGUAGAUCAAUUAAAACAAUUCAAUUUCAAAUUCAAAAGUAAGUCAAAACAACAACAUUCAAUGACUCGCGUGGUCGCGCGCGAUCCCUAUACAAAACAGGCGCGGACGCGCGUGUAUACGUUUCCAGCGUCUGCAGGUGGAUGGCGCGGGCGCACGAGUUUCAGCUUGUGCAGCCGCGCGGCUUCUGUGCUCUGCAUCCUUGAGUUUUGCUGUUGCUGCUUCUGUGUCAACCUGUUAAUACUUCUUCCUUCAUCACUGCUCAGUUGCUUAUCUCCACUUGUUUCUCGUGCCAUGCCUUCACUAGUCUCAUGCCACCUACCAACACACCAGAGGAGUUCUAAUUACAAGUAAUGCAAAAUAAAAUAAAAUGUAACUAAAAACAUACUAAAAUGUUUUCGUGAAUUUAUAUCCAAUAAGUAGGUAUAAAACCUACUUAUCAGAACCCCCCAAAACGAGCCUAGGCUCCGGCCCAAGGGACUCAGAUGCCCGACCCCGAACAUCAUCAAACCGAACAGGACUCCGACUCAGAGGACUUGGAUGCCUGAACACGAACACCCCCAAUCCCCUUGUUGGCUUAGGCCCAUUGGGCUCAAUAUACCCUUCUCAACACAUGCCUUCAGCCCACUUAGAGAUCGGUAAAAUACUCCCGAACAUUGCCCCCCCCUCCCCCAAGUUUUUUUGGGCCAGGCACUAGAAGACCAAGAUGGCUAAUGUCUAUUAUGAAGAUAAACAUUAGCUAAUGAUUAUUGAGCUAAAUUCAUUAGAAUACCAAGUGGGCCUUACAAAAAAUAGAAUAGUCUAAAAUUUUAAUGUUCUAAUCAGAGUGGUUGUUGCUUAGUAUAAUAUUAUUGACUAAUGACUAUUGUGAAAAUAAUUUCAGGAGUAGAUAUUUUUCCCAUUUUUCCAUUUAGUAUAAUAGAUGAAUUUUGUUAUUUGAAAGAACGUCGGGUGCAAUUCUAAAGAAACUUUGAUAUGUUCUAAAAGAAUUUUUUUUGCUAUGUUUUGUUGUCUUUGUCAAAGAAAAUUAUAUUACUACAUUAUCUUUGUUUUAGCAAAAAUAUAUUUUGUAAUAGUAGAAUUUUACUUUUUAGUGAUAAAUAUAUAUUAUGUUGUUAAAAAAAAUUUGGCCCCCAAUAUCGAAUCCUGAAUCCGUCCCUGAAGCUCAUGUUGUAGUUGAGAUAUUCCUCGAUGGAAGAAACUUCCCAUUUAUUCAUGGGGUAGUUUAUUUCCGCUAUAAGUUUUGCAAAUUCUUUGUUAACGAUAGGUAGAGCCUCUAAGCAUUGUUGGAUCCAAUUUAGGGACAAGAAUUGAUCCGGGAUCCGGGAUCCGAGAUCCGAGUUUGUUGAUAGUUUGGUUAAACAAUUCGAUACAUCGGAUCGAAAAGCUUGUAAAGAAACCGAUAAGGGUUCGGAUGAGUGGUGUUAGUGGUGGUGGUGAUUUUCCAGUUUGGAUAAAUGUUUAAGAGAAAAGGCAAGUUUUUGUACCAAGAGAACCAUGGGAAAAAUAAAGAGAAAAUGAAGACUUUUGUUGUGUUUGGGUUUAUGAU
rnacentral:lncRNA from 1 species